rnacentral:rRNA from 1 species
GACAUAGGUGGCGAACGUUAUCCGGAUUUAUUGGGCCUAAAGCAUCCGUAGCCGGCCUUACAAGUCCUCCGUUAAAUCCAGCUGCUUAACAGAUGGGCUGCGGAGGAUACUAUAAGACUAGGAGGCAGGAGAGGCAAGCGGUACUCAGUGGGUAGGGGUAAAAUCCGUUGAUCCAUUGAAGACCACCAGUGGCGAAGGCGGCUUGCCAGAAUGCGCUCGACGGUGAGGGAUGAAAGCUGGGGGAGCAAACCGG